UUUNCGUAGGUGACCUGCGGAAGGAUCAUUCAUAAUAAGUGUUCUACUGCACUUUUUAAACAAGUACUCACCUUGUGUGCAAUGUUUGCUGUCGAGUCGUUUAUUCGUCUCGACAGCACAAUACCAACCUUUUAUUGUAAAUUUUUUGUCUGAAGCUAUUUCGAAUAUAUAAUUCUAAAUACAACUUUCAACAACGGAUCUCUUGGCUCUCGCAUCGAUGAAGAACGCAGCGAAAUGCGAUACGUAAUGUGAAUUGCAGAAUUCAGUGAAUCAUCGAAUCUUUGAACGCACAUUGCACUCUCUGGUAUUCCGGAGAGUAUGCUUGUUUGAGUAUCUGUAAACAUCUCAAAUCUCUCUUCGCUUGCGUCGAGAGAAUUGGAUUUGAGCGAUCCCGACUCCUUCGUCAGAAAGAGGAGGGUCGCUUGAAAUGCAGGUACCAGCUGGACAUUCUUCUGAGCUAAAAGCAUAUCUAUUUAGUCCCGUCAAACGGAUUAUUACUUUUGCUUCAGCUAAUAUAAAGGUCGAAUGAACUACCAACGCUGAUUGCAGGAAAACUUGUUCGUUUAUUCGGACUUGUAAACUCGAUCUCAAAUCAAGUAAGACUACCCGCUGAACUUAAGCAUAUCAAUAAGCGGAGGAAAAGAAACUAACAAGGAUUCCCCUAGUAACGGCGAGUGAAGCGGGAUGAGCUCAAAUUUAAAAUCUGGCUGGUUUACCAGUCCGAGUUGUAGUUUAAAGAAGCGUUUUCGUGGCAGUCUCGGUAUAAAUCCUUUGGGAAUAGGGUAUCAUAGAGGUGAGAAUUCCCGUCUUUGACU
rnacentral:rRNA from 1 species